rnacentral:rRNA from 1 species
AUGGAGGCGGUAGGGGUAGUUUCCGCGCUUUUGGGCCUCCUGCCCUCCCUUGCGAAGCUGCUCACCAACGAGGAGCGCCUGGAAGAGACCUUGAAGGGCGAGCUGACGAAUCUCAAGGACGAGCUGAUGAGCAUGGAUGCUUUCCUUGGGGAUGUCUCCAGCAUGCCACCGGACCAGCUUGAGUCGCAAGUGAAGCUCAGGGCGCGUGAGGUCAGGGAGCUGUCUCAUGCCAUCGAGACACACCUCCACUACUUCAUGGCGCGCAUCGAGUUGACCAAGGGCGCUCUUCUUCCUGCCAUGAGCAAGAGGAAAAUUAACGAAGAGAUGGAAAGCUACAUCAAACAAAUCAUGUUGAAGAUUAAGAAGGUGAGUGCACGGCAUGGACCGUAUCCUUCUAAGAGUUCCCUGGAAAGUACUUCCACAUGGGAAGCGGGCACUCCUAUGUUUUCCAUGGACACCAGUGAAUCUAACCAUGUUGGCCUAGAAGGGGCAAUUGCCAAGCUAACCAAGAAGCUGUCCCAUGGCGACCAUGUCUCCAUUGUCGGGAUGGGGGGGAUGGGCAAGACCACCCUUGCUCGAGCAGUCUACGACAAGAUGAAAGGUGAUUUUGAUUGUGCAGCUUUUGUUCACAUCGGCCAGAGAGCUGACGUGAAGAAGGUUCUGAUGUACAUCUUCGACGGACUUCACAUGGAGAUCUAUGGUCAUGAACCAGACCAACACCAGCUAACCAACCAGCUGCAAAAUUUCCUGGUGGAUAAGAGGUGUUUAAUUGUCAUCGACGAUAUAUGGGAUAAGGGAACAUGGAACUUUGUUGAGCGUGUUUUUAAGUGUAGUGCUGGAAUUAAAAUCAUCACCACGACUCGUAACCGCAAUAUUGCCAAAGGAGUUGGUGGCACAGUGUACACAAUGAAACCUCUUUCCCCUACCAACUCAAAAGAGUUGCUCCGAACCAAAGCUGAAGUUAAAAGCCAUGAUGCAGAGUUUGAUACACUGUCAGAUAAAGUUUUGCAUAAAUGUGGUGGUGUGCCAAUAGCUAUCACUAUGAUAGGUAACAUGCUUGCUAAAAUUCAAAGCAAGGACUGGCAUAUGGUGUAUGAUUCUAUUGGUCUGGAUGCGCGCAAGGACUGGGCUUUCGAGGACAUAAAGAUGGUGUUUGCUUAUAGUUAUUAUGCUCUACCCUAUAAUAUCAAGAAAUGCUUUUUGUACCUAAGCCUGUUCCCAGAAGGCCACUGGAUCGAGAAGAAUAUGUUAAUAUGGAGGUGGGUCGCUGAAGGCCUUGUUCCUGAUGGGUUAUUUGAGACUGGGGAGACCUAUUUCAAGGAGCUAGUAGAUAGGUGCAUGAUCCAGUGGGCAGUGAGCCCUUGUGGCCUCAGCCCAGGUGGUUGCCGUGUCCACAUUUUGAUGCAUCGCUUCAUCCGCGACUUGUCAAGCAGCGAGAAUUUCUCCACUGUACUAGACCUAGGCAUGAAGCAGGCGAGCACAUCCCAAACUGGACCCAUUCAUAGACUAGUCAUCCACAAGGGCCAAAAUCAAAACAGUAGCCUGGAAGUGGAGGAGGUGUUGUCAUUCUAUGCAUGCACCGGUAGUGGCUUGCCACCACUCCGGAGGUUUAAAUGGCUUCGUGUGAUAGAUCUGGAGAACUGUGAUUUAUCCGUCGGAGAUUGCAAUCUGGAGCAGCUCGGCAGAUUGAAAGUGCUGAAGUAUGUUGGGCUUGUCGGCACACCCAUAGCCAAGCUCCCAUGGAAGAUAGGACACCUCGAGCUCCUACAGAUGCUCGACGUGACGGCAACUGGCAUCAGAGAGCUGCCACCGUUCGUCGGAGAGCUAAGGAAGCUUAGGUGCCUGCGUGCUGGGAAGGGCACGAGGAUGAUGGGUCGGGUAGGGAAGCUGACAUGCCUGGAAGAGUUGUGGCUGCACUCGGCGGAAAAGUCCCCAGACUUCGCCGCCGAGCUCCAGAAGCUGAGCAAGAUGCGGGUGCUGGUGAUCCACUUCGAUGAGGUGGAUGAGGGCAUGCAGAAGAAGCUGGUGGAAUCCCUGGUCCAUCUGAACAAGCUCCAGGUCCUGCAUUUCUGGUUCAGCACAGGGGGAAAGGUCCGCCUUGACAGCUGGGAAGACAAUGUGCCCUUCCCAGAGCUCCGCCAGCUGCUGCUGUUCAGGGCCAUCCUACCCAAGCAGAAAUCGUGGAUCCAUCACUUGUCUGCUCCAAAACUCUACAAACUACUGCUGCAGGUGGAGACCUUGCAGGCAGAACACCUGGAGAUCCUUGGGCAGAUGUCGUCACUCUGCUUCCUCUCCCUCCACAUGGAGGAUAAGUAUCGGUUGGAAUAUCUCUACACGAACAUAGAGCUGGUAUGCGGGGACGCGGCGCUGCCAAGGAUCCACAAGCUGGAGCUGGCCCGUGUGAGGGUGGGAACGGACAUUGGCCUGCGGGGAAACAUGCCUCUACUCGAGAGGGCCACAUACCACCUCGACUGCAGGGAUUGCGACCUCGUGGAGGUGCAGAAGGCAGAAGAAGAGCUAAGGCAGGCGAGCCAAGCCCACCCCAACAGUCCAGUCCUCACCAUAACAAGAUGGAACGAUGACGUAUGUUCCUCUUCAUUUCAGGGACCGAGCUGGAGUGAUUCUGAAGAUGAAGGACAAGCCUCUACCGACAGCAUGUCAGCUUGUCUCAACGACCAUUUUACAGACAAUGUCGAGCCAGCGCCACCUAAGGCCGACACUGGCAGUGCACUCUCCUUGCUUAACAGCUCGGAUGGAGCCACUCUUUUGUCGGAGGAAGCUGCCGAGUCAACAAUCGGUCCUGUUCUCUCUGGUGGCUAUUGCUACAUCAACCAAGCUGGCUACCUAGAUUGCAGAGACACAACCUCUGGGGAAAGGUUAAACAAUGCUGAAGCCAUGGAGCCAACAAGUCUAAAGAUGGAAUUAUUAAGAAAGAUCACAAAGAAUUUCACCGAGGAGCGAGUACUUGGUAAAGGUGCAUAUGCAAAAGUUUACAGGGGUGUGUGCGAUGAUGGACAAGUGGUUGCUGUGAAGCUGCUCUAUAAUCUAAAGCGAACAAUUGAUGAUAAACAAUUCAUACGUGAGUUUAUAAACCUUAUGAUGCUAAAGCAUCCGAACAUCGUAGGGUUAGUUGGCUACUGCUACGAAACACAACGUCAACAUGCGGACUUUGAAGGAACCAUUGUUUUUGGUGAAACAACACACAAAGCACUUUGCUUCGAGUAUAUGCCUGAGGGGAGCCUGAGUAAGCAUCUGUCCGAUGAAUGCAAUGGACUUGAUUGGCAAACACGUUACAAAAUUAUCAAAGGGGCAUGUGAAGGUUUAAGAUACCUUCAUGAAGGAUUGGGUAAACCACUUUAUCAUCUGGACCUGAAACCAGACAAUAUACUUCUAGAUGAAAAGAUGGCCCCGAAACUUGCAGAUUUUGGUUUGUCCAAGUUCUACGGAGAAGAACAAACCAGGAUGACACAAAGUCCUAUUGGAACUAUUGGAUACACGCCGCCGGAAUACUUAUUUGGAAGAAAGGUCUCGAAGAAGUUUGACAUAUUUAGCAUGGGUGUUGUAAUGACAAAGAUAAUUGCAGGGCCUAGCGACCACGACACACAUGAUGAAAGGCAAAAAGAGUUUCUUGAUCAACUUUACAUUUGGAUUACAAAGGUACAAGGAAAUUGGAGAAAAAGGUUGCAGAUUCCAUCGAGUUCUCCUGAGCAACUAGAAGCACAAUGCCAACAAGUGAAAAGAUGCACUGAGAUUGCAUUGAGCUGCAUGGACAUGGAUUGGCGCAGAAGGCCAAGUAUAGUUAAUAUCCUAGAUGAACUCAAUGAGACUGAAAAAUGUAUUGAAAAGGCUACUAAUUAUGAACAAGAUCCAUCACCACCAAUUGCUUCCACUUCAAGCGUUGUUUAA